rnacentral:rRNA from 1 species
GGAUGCGAUCAUACCAACACUAAAGCACCGGAUCCCAUCAGAACUCCGAAGUUAAGCUUGCUUGGGCGAGGGUAGUACUAGGAUGGGUGACCUCCUGGGAAGUCCUCGUGUUGCAUUCC